AUGAACGCUGGCGGCUUGCCUAAUCCCUGCCAGUCGCGCGAACAGACGAGGAGCUUGCUCCUCUUACGUUAGCGGCGGGCGGGUGAGUAACACGUGGAUAACCUACCUAUAAGACUGGGAUAACUUCGGGAAACCGGAGCUAAUACCGGAUAAUUUAUUGAACCGCCUGGUUCAAUAGUGAAAGACGGUUUUGCUGUCACUUAUAGAUGGAUCCGCGCCGCAUUAGCUAGUUGGUAAGGUAACGGCUUACCAAGGCAACGAUGCGUAGCCGACCUGAGAGGGUGAUCGGCCACACUGGAACUGGGACACGGUCCAGACUCCUACGGGAGGCAGCAGUGGGGAAUCUUCCGCAAUGGGCGAAAGCUUGACGGAGCAACGCCGCGUGAGUGAUGAAGGUCUUCGGAUCGUAAAACUCUGUUAUUAGGGAAGAACAAAUGUGUAAGUAACUAUGCACGUCUUGACGGUACCUAAUCAGAAAGCCACGGCUAACUACGUG
rnacentral:rRNA from 1 species